rnacentral:lncRNA from 1 species
UCUAAGGUUCCCAUGUAUGAAAACGAAAACAGAUUCAUUCAUGUGAACAACAUUUUCUCCUUUUACAAAAGAAUCCACAGGUGAGCCCGCCAAGAACAUUAAUAUUAAAGCCCCCAAACAUGCCCAAACUCUAAUUUUUUAGGGUGAGAAUAGCUAUUCCUAAUUCUCACCAUGCUAUAUCAACCAUCUUCCUCUCUCUCCCGCCUUUUAUAAUAAAUUUUCAAUUUUCAAUUUAAAUUUUACAAUUUGAAUAUUUAAAACUUAAAUAUUUAUAAUUUAUUAUUUCAAAACUAAAAUUAUAAUUUUAAAUUUUAAUUUGAUAUUUUUAAAUUUAAAUUUGAUGUUAAAUUCUAAAUUUCAACUUUUAAAUUCCAAAAUUAAAUUUAAAAUUUAAACUUAUCAUGAAAAAUCCAAAAUUGGGUAUAUAUAUCUAUAGUGCUACCAAGUUUUUGGCCAUUGGAUUAAGAGAUGUGCGGUUAGGAUAUUAUGGCCCCCCUAGGGUUGAGUGGGUGAUUGGUUAAAUAGUAUGAUCUAACAGGUGAAAAUGAUCAAAAAGGUAGAUCUAACAGCGGAAAACUUGGUAGCACCAAAGUACUUCGUGCUAUUAAUAACAUAGUAGCCGGACUCUAUAUAUAUAUAUAUAUAUAUAUAUAUAUAUAUAUAUAUAUAUAUAUAUUUCAUUUACAUUUUUUCAUUUACAUUUUUUACUCCUAACUUAAGAAUAAAUAAAAAAAAUGGAAAGCUUCAAAAACCCCCCUUGUGGUUUCGCACUUUUUCAUUUUAAUGUCUUGUGGUUUAAAGUGUAUCAAGUUAGUAUCCUGUGGUUUCACACUUUCUCACUUCAGUACCCUGUGGUUUAAAGUGCAUCAAGUUAGUACUCUAUGGUUUUAUUUUUGUAUCAAAUUAGUACCCUGUGGUUUUAUUUUUGUAGCAAGUUAGUACUCUGUGGUUUUAUUUUUCUCUUAAUAAAAUAUUAAACCACAGAGUACUAAAGUGAGAAAGUGCGAAACCACAGGGUACUAACUUGAUACACUUUAAACCAUAGGAUACUAAAAUGAGAAAGUGCAAAACAACAGGGUACUAACUUGAUACACUUUAAACCACAGGGUACUGAAAUGAGAAAGAGUGGAACCACAAUGGGGGUAUUUGAAGUUUUUCCUAAAAAAAUUGUGCAGUAGAAAAGUAUAUUUGAAAGAGCAAAAUAAUAAUUUUAUAGAGAUAACGGUCGUUUCUAAUAGUUCACUAACAGAAUUAAACUCUAAAAAUAUAUUUAAAAUAAUUUAAAAUAUUAAAAACUAUUUCUAUUUUUAAUUUUUUAAGAAAAAUAAAUAAAAAAGUCAAAAAAUUUCAUGGAUAAUAUAUAUAUAUAUAUAUAUAUAUAUGGCUAAAUUAUAAAAAACCUCCUCUAAUAACCCGCUUUUUCACUUUCUCCCCCCUGACAUUUAAAAAGUUACACUUUGCUCCUUGUAAAAUAAAAAUAUUCACAGGAGGGUUACGGUGUGUAAAAUGAUCAUUUUACCCCUCGCCAUUUUCGUCUUCUUCUUCAUCUUCCUCAGCCGCCCUUUCGAUCGGCCGCGAUUCCCACCCCAAUCGGCCGCGAUUUUUUUCCAUUUUCUUCUCCAUCUGCUCCCAUUCUCCUCCUGCACCCUCGCGGCCCCUCGAUUUCGACGAUAGUAGGAAGGAAAUCGAGGUGGGUGUUGAUGGAGAGGUAGGCAAGGGCAACGAGGGCGAAGGCGAGGCGGCGGAGGAGGGUGAAGGGGAUAUGGGCGAGGGCGAGACAGUGGAGGACGGCUAGGCGGCGAUGCGGCGACGAGGCGGCGAGUCGGAGGGUGGCGAAGCAACAAAGAAGAGGGCAGAAGGGUAUUUUCGGUAUAAAAAAAUAUUUUACAACAGAACCCUAACGGUAGGGGGUGAAGUGCACAUUUUUUAUUUUACAAAGGGGCAAAGUAUAGGUUUUUAAAUGUCAGGAGGGAAAAGUAAAAAAAGGGGUUAUUACAGGAGGAUUUUCUGUAAUUUAGCCUAUAUAUAUAUAUAUAUAUAUAUAUAUAUAUAUAUAUAUAUAUAUAACUAGGCUACUAUACUAUUAAUAGCACAAAGUCAUUAGUGCUACCAAGUUUUUGGCCAAUGGAUUCAGAGAUGUGUGGUUAGGAUGAUGUGGGCCCUCUAAGACUAGGGUUGAGUGGGUGAUUGGUUAAAUAGUAUGAUCUAACAGGUGAAAAUGAUCAAAAAGGUAGAUCUAACAGCGGAAAACUUGGUAGCACCAAAGUACUUCGUGCUAUUAAUAACAUAGUAGCCGGACUCUAUAUAUAUAUAUAU